rnacentral:rRNA from 1 species
UCCGUAGGUGGAUAAUUAAGUCAGAGGUGAAAUCCUGCAGCUCAACUGUAGAAUUGCCUUUGAUACUGGUUAUCUUGAGUUAUUAUGAAGUAGUUAGAAUAUGUAGUGUAGCGGUGAAAUGCAUAGAUAUUACAUAGAAUACCAAUUGCGAAGGCAGAUUACUAAUAAUCAACUGACACUGAUGGACGAAAGCGUGGGUAGCGAACAGGAUUAGAUACCCUGGUAGUCC